AGCGCAAGUGUUCGCACACACACACACACACACACACACACAUACGUCAUCCGUCAUCCGUCUCGCACGGGCGCAUCGUGCACGCUCAGCGCACGCACGCUAUCAUCUCCAACACACUUUCUUCCCUCCGCAAGCCCACCUUCUUCUGCUGCUCGUUCUCUUCUCACCUCACCCCCUUUUGUAUUCCAUCUGUGUGAGCCUUUCGGUUUAUCGCUUUGUUUUUCGCCGGGCUCUACGUAAGCGUUUUUGUGUGUGCGCGGAGGCGGAUCGCGACGUUCGCAUCCCUCCUUUCUCUGUGCUCAGUUGCGGUGACGUUGGUAGCGUUAGCACAAUCACGCACUGCAGCACUCUGAGACCGCUUUCUCGAAUGCUUACUUAUCUCCUCCCCCCUUUUUUCUUGCGUGAAUACUUUAUCCGUACACAAAAGCUAACCGACUCACGCACGUCCGCACGCUCGCACAUAGAUACGCAUUCGCACGCUCGAGCAUGUAUAUAUACGCAUUUGCCAAGUUGUCGUUUUUCUCUCUUAUUGCUGCUCCCACUGACACGCUCUCUAUCUUUGGGUCUCGGAUACCCACCCCUCGACGCCGGCCUUAUCCCCUCUCCCACCUCCUCCUUUCCCGUCACGUGAACCUGCGGCUUGCGACGCGCAUAGAACUCUGAAACGCAGCCGGUAACGAUGGAGAUUACCAACAGUAACGCGGUGGCGCUGUUGCCCUACGUUGGCACACUUUUGCGCGACUGCUCCUUCUUUGCGGUGGACCUGGAGUUUUCCGGCAUCGACCAUGACGGCGCCGAAGCUGACGCGGAAACUCCGGAGCAAGCUCUCCACUCCCUCACGCGAAAGCCAUCUGACCUAUAUCCGGCAAAGUUGCAGGCUAUUAAGCCGUACAGCAUGGUGCAGAUCGGCAUCUCCGUCUUCACGGAGCUGGUUCCCGGUGACGCCGAAGGGGCCACGAGCGCGAGCGGAGCAGCGUCUUUGACGGCACCCUCUUCGGCGGCGGCUCACCUGCGGAAGGAGGUGGCGGAGUUCUUGGCGGCGGACGUCGCAAAUCGCACCACCUAUGCGGAAACCACGACCGUGGUGGAGAGAAUGCUGACGAGCGCGAACGGCGCGGCCGCGGGCUUCACCUCGGCGUUCAAGUACAUAACUGAGCAAAUGGUCGCUGUUGCGCAGUCGCUGGAGGUCGUUGCAAGGGCCAGCGACAUUCGUGCCACGGCGGAGCCGGCACCGCCAAUUCAGUCGCUCCCUGGCCUGCGGUACCAUUACCGCUUCUUAGAGGCUCUCGGUCGUGCUGUUGCCAGCUAUCGAAGAGAAAUCACCGCCACCGGUGCGCCGGCGUUCGAGGCGCCGGUGGCGCGCUACAAGGUGCACACGUUCUCUGCGCUGACGUUCCCGGCUGCAACCGACUCUGCGGCGGACGUCACGCUCAACAUCGACACCGCCGAGUUCCUCGUCAAGAACGACAUGGACCUCACGCGUUGGGUGAAAGAAGGGCUGCGCUUUGCGCCGAUAAAGGUGGCGGCCGCCCAACUCGCCAAGGAAGCGGAGGCGAAGUUGCAGCAAAUGAACCUGCUGGCACAGCCGCACACCGUGCUGCCAGGGUACAAGGAAUGCAUCGGCAGGAAACUAGACGAGUUGCUUCCCCUCUCUCCAGGCGAGCUGCAGCUAGUAAGGUUUGUCAUCGCUCUCCCGGAUGCGGGGUCCGGUGAUAUGGCGGCAGCCAGGGUGAAGCAGUUCUACGUCGGAGCACUUCGUCCCCUUAUCUCCUUCGCGCGUGGCAAUGUUCCAGAGUCGGCGCUGCCAGAGUCUAUCUACACGAGAGACAAGCUCUUCAAGGACGAGAUGGACGCGCUGGCGGCAAUCGGGAUGACGAAGAUGAGCCGCAAAUUUAUGAGGGCCGCCAUCUCCAGCAGCUGGGGCAGCAGGUGCGGCUCCAGUCUCGUCUCUCAUAGUUACGGCAGUGCCCUCUUGGAGACUCUCUUAUAUGCGACCGAAGUGCAACGGAAGCCCAUCGUCUUCUACAACGGUUACACGGAUGUGAUGUUUCUGCUGCUCGCCCUUUACGGGCCGCAGAACAUGCCACCGGACCUGCCGUCCUUUAAGUCGCUGGUGCGCCGGCACUUCCCGUCACUUUUCGACACGCGCAUCCUCAGCUGCGCUGGACCGCUUCAGGGCUUGGGGAACUUCACGGGGAAGCUCUCGAGCGUGGUUGAUGAGAUGAGCAAAGUGAGCUCUAUCGGGCCACACGUGUCGUUUAUCUUUGACCCGCUCGUCUCUGGUGGCCGUGACGCCACGCAGCACUUGCUGGCCCACAACGCGGCCUUCGAUGCCUUGCUCACUGGCAAGCUCUUUGCGUUUGCCAAGUGCGGACUCGAAAAUGCCAACGUCAGCGUCAAAGUGUAUGAGAACUUCUUGGCCACCUAUACCACGCUGAUGUCGAUCAACCUGCAAGGCAGCGUGGACAGCGUGCUGCAGGAAGCGACUGCAAACGUGUACUACCUCACGAACAAGUCAGGGCUGCGGGCGGAUACGAUACGUGAGGCGCUCGCGGGGUGUGGUAUCACAGCCGUGGUGAUGUACCGAGGAAGCGGCUAUACCAUUCAACCAGUAGGUGCUGCGUGCCAGAUGCCGGACCUGAUGCAGGUGAUGAGAGAGGCGCUGUGCGCUAGGGCUCGCUCGCAGAUCGAACUGUAUCACAUCGCGCUGUGAGCGCACGCAUGGAUAGAAGCGAAGGAGAGAGCGCGCGGUUGUGCAGGUGCUAGAGAGAGGGAAGGGUUGAGGACACUCACUAGUACUGCGUAUGUGUGUGUACCCGCCCACCUGCGUUGACCGUGCCAUCAUGCCAACGUGGGCUCCGGUUCACAGAGUGCAGUUAAGGGACACAUUUUGUGCAUCGGUGAACAAGCGCAAACAAGGAAGAAAAAAGGCGAAGCGUUCUGCGACAUGACUUAAAGAUUGUGCAGCGGCGUUGCCAUCUUGGCCAUUCCCGCUCGCCAUGCACUACCACCCCGUCCCUCCUCUGUCUCCGUCUCUCUCUCGCUAUCUCUUUUUUUGUGUCGUUCUCUCUUCGUCACGUUUGCGCCUGCUUGUGGAGGUGCUGCAGCUUGGAGCAGCAUGCGACACGGAAGACAACAAAACGGAGUAGGCGGCAGCAUCUUCACGGUCCACCACACGGUGCAGCAGCCCAAAAAAUGGGAGUUGGAGGCAGUGACCGUGGGGAGGCACAGAGCCAG
rnacentral:misc_RNA from 1 species